rnacentral:rRNA from 1 species
UGCCAGCAGCCGCGGUAAUACGGAGGGUGCAAGCGUUGUUCGGAAUUACUGGGCUUAAAGAGUGCGUAGGCGGCUUGGCAAGUUGGGUGUGAAAUCCCUCGGCUCAACCGAGGAAUUGCGCUCAAAACUGCUAGGCUUGAGGGAGACAGAGGUGAGCGGAACUGAUGGUGGAGCGGUGAAAUGCGUUGAUAUCAUCAGGAACACCGGUGGCGAAGGCGGCUCACUGGGUCUCUUCUGACGCUGAGGCACGAAAGCUAGGGGAGCGAACGGGAUUAGAUA